ACCAACCACCCUUAUCACCGUGAGUGAUCGUGAAGUCUUGAGAAGAUUAAGCAGCGGAUGAAACGACAAAAUUCUUUUCGUGACUAUACGGCUGAGUCCGCACUGUUUGUGCGUCGGGCGCUGGUCGCCUUUUUGGGUAUUUUGCUGCUGACCGGCGUACUGAUCGCCAAUUUGUAUAAUCUGCAAAUUCUCCGUUUUACCGAUUACCAGACCCGCUCGAACGAAAACCGUAUCAAGCUGGUGCCAAUUGCGCCAAGCCGCGGGAUAAUCUACGACCGUAACGGCAUUCCCCCUUGCGCUGAACCGCACUAUCUAUCAGAUUGAAAUGAUGCCGGAAAAGGUGGAUAACGUUCAGCAAACGCUGGAUGCGCUACGCAGUGUGGUCG
rnacentral:misc_RNA from 1 species